rnacentral:rRNA from 1 species
CGGUCUUUUCUAUGGAAGCUUGCUUCCACUGAGAAGAUAGUGGCGGACGGGUGAGUAACACGUGGGUAACCUGCCCAUAAGAGGGGGAUAACAUCCGGAAACGGGUGCUAAUACCGCAUAGUUUUCUUGGUCGCAUGAUCGAGAAAGGAAAGACGGCCUUUGUGCUGUCGCUUAUGGAUGGACCCGCGGCGUAUUAGUUAGUUGGUGAGGUAACGGCUCACCAAGACGAUGAUACGUAGCCGACCUGAGAGGGUGAUCGGCCACAUUGGGACUGAGACACGGCCCAAACUCCUACGGGAGGCAGCAGUAGGGAAUCUUCCGCAAUGGACGAAAGUCUGACGGAGCAACGCCGCGUGAGUGAAGAAGGUUUUCGGAUCGUAAAACUCUGUUGUCAGAGAAGAACAAGUCGGAGAGUAACUGCUCCGGCCUUGACGGUAUCUGACCAGAAAGCCACGGCUAACUACGUGCCAGCAGCCGCGGUAAUACGUAGGUGGCAAGCGUUGUCCGGAUUUAUUGGGCGUAAAGCGAGCGCAGGCGGUUCCUUAAGUCUGAUGUGAAAGCCCACGGCUCAACCGUGGAAGGUCAUUGGAAACUGGGGAACUUGAGUGCAGAAGAGGAGAGUGGAAUUCCAUGUGUAGCGGUGAAAUGCGUAGAUAUAUG